UACGUAGGGGGCAAGCGUUGUCCGGAAUCAUUGGGCGUAAAGAGCGUGUAGGCGGCCCGGUAAGUCCGCUGUGAAAGUCGGGGGCUCAACCCUCGAAUGCCGGUGGAUACUGUCGGGCUAGGAGUGGCGGAAGAGGCGAGUGGAAUUCCGUGGUGUAGCGGUGAAAUGCGCAGAUAUCAGGAGGAACACCGGUGGCGAAGGCGGGUCUCUGGGCCGAUACUGACGCUGGAGGAGCGAAAGCGUGGGGAGCGAACAGG
rnacentral:rRNA from 1 species